rnacentral:pre_miRNA from 1 species
GGGGGGAGGCCGGAUCCUGGGCUGUGUCCCGGCACCCAGUGUUCCCGGGCCUGCGCUGUUGUAUUCACGGUCCUGGCCGUGCAGCCCCCU